rnacentral:rRNA from 1 species
UACGUAGGUGGCGAGCGUUAUCCGGAAUUAUUGGGCGUAAAGCGCGCGCAGGCGGUUCCUUAAGCCUGGUGUGAAAGCCCACGGCUCAACCGUGGAGGGUCAUUGGAAACUGGGGAACUUGAGUGCAGAAGAGAAGAGCGGAAUUCCACGUGUAGCGGUGAAAUGCGUAGAGAUGUGGAGGAACACCAGUGGCGAAGGCGGCUCUUUGGUCUGUAACUGACGCUGAGGCGCGAAAGCGUGGGGAGCAAACAGG